GACGGACGCUGGCGGCGUGCUUAACACAUGCAAGUCGAACGGAAAGGCCCCAGCUUGCUGGGGUACUCGAGUGGCGAACGGGUGAGUAACACGUGGGUGAUCUGCCCUGCACUCUGGGAUAAGCCUGGGAAACUGGGUCUAAUACCGGAUAGGACCGUGCUUUAGUGUGUGCGGUGGAAAGUUUUUCGGUGCAGGAUGAGCCCGCGGCCUAUCAGCUUGUUGGUGGGGUAAUGGCCUACCAAGGCGGCGACGGGUAGCCGGCCUGAGAGGGUGUACGGCCACAUUGGGACUGAGACACGGCCCAGACUCCUACGGGAGGCAGCAGUGGGGAAUAUUGCACAAUGGGCGCAAGCCUGAUGCAGCGACGCCGCGUGGGGGAUGACGGCCUUCGGGUUGCAAACCCCUUUCGGCAGGGACGAAGCUUUUGUGACGGUACCUGCAGAAGAAGCACCGGCUAACUACGUG
rnacentral:rRNA from 1 species